AGUGCAGAAUAACCCUGCGAAAGCAGAGCUAAUACUGCAUGUGGUUGUCGGAUGGCAUCAUCUGACAACGAAAGUCGCAAGACGCUCUCAGAUGGGCCCGCGGCCUAUUAGCUAGUUGGUGAGGUAACGGCCCACCAAGGCUAUGAUGGGUAGCUGGUCUGAGAGGACGGACAGCCACACUGGGACUGAGACACGGCCCAG
rnacentral:rRNA from 1 species